GUGUUUGAUUAAAGGAGAGAUGGUUGGCAUCUCCCUUGAGAGAGUCAGGAACAGCCUUUGGGCUUCCCUGCUAACACAACAAUGACAUCUAAGUACUUAAGAUUUAGGCUGUUU
rnacentral:ncRNA from 2 species